UACGUAGGGUGCAAGCGUUAAUCGGAAUUACUGGGCGUAAAGCGUGCGCAGGCGGUUGUGCAAGACAGAUGUGAAAUCCCCGGGCUCAACCCUGGGAACUGCAUUUGUGACUGCACAGCUAGAGUACGGUAGAGGGGGAUGGAAUUCCGCGUGUAGCAGUGAAAUGCGUAGAUAUGCGGAGGAACACCGAUGGCGAAGGCAAUCCCCUGGACCUGUACUGACGCUCAUGCACGAAAGCGUGGGGGAGCAAACAGG
rnacentral:rRNA from 1 species